ACGAACGCUGGCGGCAUGCCUAACACAUGCAAGUCGAACGAGACCUUCGGGUCUAGUGGCGCACGGGUGCGUAACGCGUGGGAACCUGCCCUUAGGUUCGGAAUAACUCCCCGAAAGGGGUGCUAAUACCGGAUAAUGUCUUCGGACCAAAGAUUUAUCGCCUUUGGAUGGGCCCGCGUUGGAUUAGCUAGUUGGUAGGGUAAAAGUCUACCAAGGCGACGAUCCAUAGCUGGUCUGAGAGGAUGAUCAGCCACACUGGGACUGAGACACGGCCCAGACUCCUACGGGAGGCAGCAGUGGGGAAUAUUGGACAAUGGGCGAAAGCCUGAUCCAGCAAUGCCGCGUGAGUGAUGAAGGCCUUAGGGUUGUAAAGCUCUUUUACCCGGGAUGAUAAUGACAGUACCGGGAGAAUAAGCUCCGGCUAACUCCGUG
rnacentral:rRNA from 1 species